rnacentral:rRNA from 1 species
GUUGGGACGUUCUUUUUAGAGUUUUGGAUCUGGCUCAGAUUGAACGCUGGCGGCAUGCUUUACACAUGCAAGUCGGACGGCAGCACAGAGAAGCUUGCUUCUUGGGUGGCGAGUGGCGAACGGGUGAGUAACAUAUCGGAACGUACCGAGUAAUGGGGGAUAACUAAUCGAAAGAUUAGCUAAUACCGCAUAUUCUCUGAGGAGGAAAGCAGGGGACCUUCGGGCCUUGCGUUAUUCGAGCGGCCGAUAUCUGAUUAGCUGGUUGGUGGGGUAAAGGCCUACCAAGGCGACGAUCAGUAGCGGGUCUGAGAGGAUGAUCCGCCACACUGGGACUGAGACACGGCCCAGACUCCUACGGGAGGCAGCAGUGGGGAAUUUUGGACAAUGGGCGCAAGCCUGGUCCAGCCAUGCCGCGUGUCUGAAGAAGGCCUUCGGGUUGUAAAGGACUUUUGUCAGGGAAGAAAAGGCUGUUGCUAAUAUCGACAGCUGAUGACGGUACCUGAAGAAUAAGCACCGGCUAACUACUCAGAGUUCUGC